rnacentral:tRNA from 1 species
GGCUUCGUAGCUUAGCUGGUGGAGUGCUCGCAGCGUUGAGGCAUGCUGUGUCAGUGACUGGUUCAAUUCCAGCCGAAGCCC